rnacentral:rRNA from 1 species
GACGAACGCUGGCGGCGUGCUUAACACAUGCAAGUCGAACGGAAAGGCCUUUUCGGAGGUACUCGAGUGGCGAACGGGUGAGUAACACGUGGGUGAUCUGCCCUGCACUCUGGGUUAAGCCUGGGGAACUGGGUCUAAUACCGGAUAGGACCGCACUUUAGUGUGUGUGGUGGAAAGUUUUUUCGGUGUAGGAUGAGCCCGCGGCCUAUCAGCUUGUUGGUGGGGUAAUGGCCUACCAAGGCGGCGACGGGUAGCCGGACUGAGAGGUUGGUCGGCCACAUUGGGACUGAGAGACGGCCCAGACUCCUACGGGAGGCAGCAGUGGGGAAUAUUGCACAAUGGGCGCAAGCCUGAUGCAGCGACGCCGCGUGGGGGAUGACGGCCUUCGGGUUGUAAACUCCUUUCGCCAGGGACGAAGCGUUUUGUGACGGUACCUGGAGAAGAAGCACCGGCUAACUACGUG